GAUGAACGCUGGCGGCGUGCUUAACACAUGCAAGUCGAACGGUGAAGCAGAGCUUGCUCUGUGGAUCAGUGGCGAACGGGUGAGUAACACGUGAGCAACCUGCCCCUGACUCUGGGAUAAGCGCUGGAAACGGCGUCUAAUACUGGAUAUGAGCUGCGACCGCAUGGUCAGCAGUUGGAAAGAUUUUUCGGUCUGGGAUGGGCUCACGGCCUAUCAGCUUGUUGGUGAGGUAAUGGCUCACCAAGGCGUCGACGGGUAGCCGGCCUGAGAGGGUGACCGGCCACACUGGGACUGAGACACGGCCCAGACUCCUACGGGAGGCAGCAGUGGGGAAUAUUGCACAAUGGGCGAAAGCCUGAUGCAGCGACGCCGCGUGAGGGAUGACGGCCUUCGGGUUGUAAACCUCUUUUAGCAGGGAAGAAGCGAAAGUGACGGUACCUGCAGAAAAAGCGCCGGCUAACUACGUG
rnacentral:rRNA from 1 species